UUCCCAGAGCCUUGAGCUCUUUGAAGGGUCGUUCGAGACCAGGACGUUGAUAGGUCAGGUGUGGAAGUGCAGUAAUGCAUUAAGCUAACUGAUACUAAUUGCCCGUACGGCUUGUCCCUAUAACCUUAGCAGGUUAUAU
rnacentral:rRNA from 1 species